ACAAAGAACCGCUGUGCUGAGUUUUGGACAAUAAAGAUGGUCCAGGUUGUGGAUUACAAGAGAACUCCAAUCCAUAUUACUGAACUCCACUACUGUGAAUUCAGGAGCAGUGGAAAUCAAAGGAUUGCACUGUAAUUAUAUAAAAUGAAAAUGAAAGUAUCAUGUGGAAAGAGGAAGAGGACCUGGAAGAGAACAUGGAAGUGGGUGAUGUCAAGGGAAGAGAACAGUUACAUCACUUGUGCAGAAGAGCCUUCAAAAGAAAAAAAAUCUUCACUAAAACUGCCAGAAAUACCCACAAUUUCAUUCUGAUCAUUCUGAUCAUUGAGAUCUCUGUGGGAGAUCCCACCUUUAAUCCCUGCCAUCAGAUUCUGCUGUCGUGACUGUGACUCUGCAUGGGAAGAGCCAAUUCUCCAGGAACACAAUUUAUUUCAGUGAUGUGCUCGUGUGACCUGACUGAUUCUGAGGUUCUUCUCUCAACUGUUUGAGUUUGAAAAGCAAAGACGGCCAAAAGGAAAUUGUUUUGGAGAGAAGUGAUAGCCAAUCUUGGAUAGUGUCAAGGAAACCUCAGUGGUGUCACAAUUCAGUCACCAGGAGCAGGGGCAAUAGGCCUGAUGUGAAGUCCACAGAAGUGAAGGGAUAAACCCUUAUCAGCUCUGGCCCAGCCCCUGACACAGCACUCAGAGCCACUCAGGCUGAAAGAGGUAAACUGCUACAAGAUCUUCAAGGAACAAAGACUGAUUAAGGAUAAUCUUGUAGAAAAUGUUACCUUUUUUUGGAUGAAUUUAACAUGGGAAAUACUGCCUGCCAGUCUCAUUUGGGUAAUUCCUUCAGUGAAUUCCCUUCUCAUCCAGGAUGGUUCCUUGAUCAGGCCAAGAUGGGUUUCCAGUUUCCAGCACGUUCCCUGGGUUGUAUGAUGAAAUGCCAGUUCUGCAGUGAGAGUUGAUUGACAAACAGCAAAUGCCAUAUGCCUCCUCCUCACCCUGCAACCAGAAGGUUGGGGUUAAAAGUGAGAGGGAAAAAUGGGAAAAGAACAAAUGAGAGCACAAGAAAUUUGGCAGCAUCAGAGAUCUGUGCAUACAAUUGCUGAAUGACACAUUGAGGCAAGUCAGCUUAAUUAUAAUUUAU